GCCAGGUGCGGUGGUGCAUGCCGGUAGUCCCAGCUACUUGAGAGGCUGAGGUGGGAGGAUCGCUUGAGCCCAGGAGUUCUGGGCUGUAGUGCACUAUGCCAAUCGGGUGUCCGCACUAAGUUCGGCAUCAAUAUGGUGACCUCCAAGGAGCAAGGGACCACCAGGUUGCCUAAGGAGGGGUGAACUGGCCCAGGUCGGAUACGGAGCAGGUCAAAACUCCCGUGCUGAUCAGUAGUGGGAUCGUGCCUGUGAAUAGCCACUGCACACUCCAGCCUGGGCAACAUAGAGACGCCAUCA
rnacentral:SRP_RNA from 1 species